rnacentral:rRNA from 1 species
CCUACGGGAGGCAGCAGUGGGGAAUUUUGGACAAUGGGCGCAAGCCUGAUCCAGCAAUGCCGCGUGAGUGAAGAAGGCCUUCGGGUUGUAAAGCUCUUUUGUCAGGGAAGAAACGGCUGAGGAUAAUACCUUUGGCUAAUGACGGUACCUGAAGAAUAAGCACCGGCUAACUACGUGCCAGCAGCCGCGGUAAUACGUAGGGUGCAAGCGUUAAUCGGAAUUACUGGGCGUAAAGCGUGCGCAGGCGGUUUUGUAAGUCUGACGUGAAAUCCCCGGGCUCAACCUGGGAAUUGCGUUGGAGACUGCAAGGCUGGAGUCUGGCAGAGGGGGGUAGAAUUCCACGUGUAGCAGUGAAAUGCGUAGAGAUGUGGAGGAACACCGAUGGCGAAGGCAGCCCCCCUGGGUCAAGACUGACGCUCAUGCACGAAAAGCGUGGGGAGCAAAACAGGAUUAGAUACCUUGGUAGUCCACGCCCUAAAACGAUGUCUACUAGUUGUCGGGUCUUAAAUUGACUUGGUAACGCAGCUAAACGCGUGAAGUAGACCGCCUGGGGAGUACGGUCGCAAGAUUAAAAACUACAAAAGGAAAUUAGACGGCGNGAGAGAGACGACGACGACGACGAGGAGGAGGAG